CUGAAAACUCUAUUCAGUGAUAUUCAAAUAACUGCACCCUGCAGGAGCUCAGGUUAUUGCCAUUCUCCAAGACGUCAGAGGUGGGAGCUGUGGGACACGAGAUUUAAGCAGCCUCCAAAAACUAUCGAUAGCCUACACUUGGAAAACUCGAGACAUAGAGGCACAUGGGCACAAAUAAAAGAGACCAGAGUAGAUCUGAAAUUAGGACCGGCUGGGAUUGUAUUGUGCAUCUUUAAGAAGAGACUCUUCUUCUCCUCUGUGUGCACUCCCUGAAGGAAGAGCAUCUCACAUCAAGAAUUUUCCACAGGUAUGGCUUUUCCAUCUGCCAUUCAUUCACUCAUAUUUUGUCCGCUAUUGUCUGUCAUCCCAUCCUAAAAACUCCGUACUAUGCUCCUCUUUGAAAC
rnacentral:lncRNA from 1 species